rnacentral:rRNA from 1 species
CAGCCGCCGCGGUAAAACCAGCACCUCAAGUGGUCAGGAUGAUUAUUGGGCCUAAAGCAUCCGUAGCCGGCUCUGUAAGUUUUCGGUUAAAUCUGUACGCUCAACGUACAGGCUGCCGGGAAUACUGCAGAGCUAGGGAGUGGGAGAGGUAGAUGGUACUCGGUAGGAAGGGGUAAAAUCCUCUGAUCUAUUGAUGACCACCUGUGGCGAAGGCGGUCUACCAGAACACGUCCGACGGUGAGGGAUGAAAGCUGGGGGAGCAAACCGGAUUAGAUACCCGGGUAGUCCCAGCUGUAAACUAUGCAAACUCAGUGAUGCAUUGGCUUGUGGCCAAUGCAGUGCUGCAGGGAAGCCGUUAAGUUUGCCGCCUGGGAAGUACGUACGCAAGUAUGAAACUUAAAGGAAUUGGCGGGGGAGCAC